UACGUAGGGUGCGAGCGUUAAUCGGAAUUACUGGGCGUAAAGCGUGCGCAGGCGGUUUUGUAAGCCAGAUGUGAAAUCCCCGGGCUUAACCUGGGAAUGGCGUUUGGGACUGCAAGGCUGGAGUGUGGCAGAGGAGACUGGAAUUCCUGGUGUAGCAGUGAAAUGCGUAGAUAUCAGGAGGAAUACCGAUGGCGAAGGCAGGUCUCUGGGCUGACACUGACGCUCAUGCACGAAAGCGUGGGGAGCAAACGGG
rnacentral:rRNA from 1 species